GGAAUAUUGGACAAUGGGCGAAAGCCUGAUCCAGCAAUGCCGCGUGAGUGAUGAAGGCCUUAGGGUUGUAAAGCUCUUUUGUCCGGGAAGAUAAUGACUGUACCGGAAGAAUAAGCCCCGGCUAACUUCGUGCCAGCAGCCGCGGUAAUACGAAGGGGGCUAGCGUUGCUCGGAAUCACUGGGCGUAAAGGGCGCGUAGGCGGAUACUUAAGUCAGGGGUGAAAGCCUGAGGCUCAACCUCAGAAUUGCCUUUGAUACUGAGUAUCUCGAGACCGGAAGAGGUAAGUGGAACUGCGAGUGUAGAGGUGAAAUUCGUAGAUAUUCGCAAGAACACCAGUGGCGAAGGCGGCUUACUGGUCCGGUUCUGACGCUGAGGCGCGAAAGCGUGGGGAGCAAAC
rnacentral:rRNA from 1 species